CUUCGACUUACGAAGAAGUGCUUUUAUUAGAUCAAAGCCAAUGUCGUCCUCGGGCGACUGGUUGUGGUGACUCUGAGUAAAGUAAGCUGAUUGCAUUGCUCGAAACGGGCAGGCGAUUCGUAUGUGGUGUCAGAGGUGAAUUCUAUGAUCACUCUCAAGACUAUCAGUUGCGAUAGUUGAUAUGCCUAGCAUGUUUUCAUUAAUCGGGUAACGGGGAAGUCAGGGUUCGAUUCCGGAGAGAGCGCAUUAGAUACGGUCCUAGUUCUAACUAUACACUAUGCGAACUGGGCAUCUGGCGCUUGCAAAUUACGCAAUCGCCAGGCACCUCGCGGGAGGUAGUGACGCAAAGUUACGUUGCGGUAAUCUUCGGAUUGGGGAGUAUCGGAUUGAGAACAAUCGAAAUCCUUUAUCGAGGAAUUGAUUGGAGGGGCACAGUUCUGAAGUGCCAGCAGCCUGCGGCUCAAUUUGAGCUCGAAUAGCGUAUGUUAAAUUUGCUGCGGUCUGAACAGCUCGUGAGGAUUGACAGGUGUCAGAUAGCUCUUUCUUGAUUCGGUGGGUGGUGGUGCAUGGCACAAGUUUCUUGUGCGUAUGGUGUAGUGAUUUGCUCUAGGUUUACUUCUUAUAAAUGUCACCUCUCCUGCGUCUCACAUAGCCCUAUUGGUUUUGGGUGACGCAGCAAGGGCAAGGUGUUCAAAACUAGUUUGUUGAAAAUUAGCGUGCUUAACGCAGCGCUCAAACACUUGCUUAGUAGGUACAAGUGUCGUGCAUGGCACUCGAAGUUGAGCAAUAGACCUUGGUUCUGUGAUGUCGUUGGAUGUUCGGGGCUGCACGCGCGCUACAUGAUUGAUGGCUGACAAAGGGGGCAUUCGUGUUGUCGACUGUUAGACGUGGAAUCAUAAGAUAGC
rnacentral:rRNA from 1 species